AGUCCAUAAAUGGAUCGCUGGAGCUUGCACACUUUGUUAGCACCUUUUGGAUCGAAAAAGCCUUCUAGAGUACGGUAGGGGCAGAGGGAAUUUCCGGUGGAGCGGUGAAAUGCAUUGAGAUCGGAAAGAACACCAACGGCAAAAGCACUCUGCUGGGCCGACACUGACACUGAGAGACGAAAGCUAGGGGAACAAAUGGGAUUAGAGACCCCAGUAGUCCUAGCCGUAAACGGACGGAGACGUUUCCG
rnacentral:ncRNA from 1 species